rnacentral:rRNA from 1 species
UCAAGCGAACAAGGGCGCAGGGCGAAUGCCUUGGCACUGGGAGCCGAUGAAAGACGUGAUAAGCUGCGAUAAGCUUCGGGGAGCUGCAAAUAAGCAUUGAUCCGGAGAUUUCUGAAUGAGGAAACUCACCUGGGUUCAUACUCAGGUACGUUAUACUGAACUUCAAAAUAGGUAUAUCGGGGGAACCGCCUGAACUGAAACAUCUAAGUAGGGCGAGGAAGAGACAUCAAACGAGAUUCCGUAAGUAGUGGCGAGCGAACGCGGAAGAGGGCAAACCGAGAGUAGAAAUACUUUCGGGGUACGGACUGCUUUUAGGACUCAAUCUGUUAACCGAACGGCAUGGGAAGGCCGGUCAGAGAGUGUGAGAACCACGUAGGUGAAAACGGAGAGAGCUGCGCAGAUUCCAGAGUACGGCCAGACACGUGAAACCUGGUCGGAAGAUGGGGGGACCACCCUCCAACCCUAAAUACUACCCAGUGACCGAUAGCGUAUAGUACUGUGAAGGAAAGGUGAAAAGCACCCCGGGAGGGGAGUGAAAAAGAACCUGAAACCCUGUGCCUACAAGCACCUAGAGCACGUCAAUGUGUGAUAGGGUACUUUUUGUAGAACGGUCCGGCGAGCGAUUGUAUGCAGCAAGGUUAAGGACUUAAGGUCUGGAGCCGAAGCGAAAGCGAGUUUGAAAAGGGCGUUAAGUUGCAUAUAAUGGGCCCGAAACCGGGUGACCUACCCAUGGUCAGGUUGAAGUGGAAGUAAAAUUCCAUGGAGGACCGAACCGACCUCCGUUGAAAAGGCGGCGGAUGAACUGUGGGUAGCGGAGAAAUUCCAAUCGAACCCGGAGAUAGCUGGUUCUCCCCGAAAUAGUUUUAGGACUAGCCUCAAGUUAGAUACCUGGAGGUAAAGCACUGAAUAGCCUAGCGGCCGAGAGGUUAGCGAAGCUUAUCAAACUCAGAAUGCCAGAGUAUUGAUGCUUGGGAGUCAGACAGUGUCAGAUAAAUGUCAUUGUCAAAAGGGAAACAGCCCAGAUCUACAGCUAAGGUCCCAAAGUCAGGUUAAGUGGAAAACGAUGUGAAGAUACGCAGACAACCAGGAUGUUGGCUCAGAAGCAGCCACUCAUUCAAAGAGUGCGUAAUAGCUCACUGGUCGAGCGUCUUUGCGCGGAGAAUUUAACGGGGCUAAACCUGACACCGAAGCUUAGGCAAUGUAGUAAUACAUUGGGUAGGGGAGCGUUGUAUACGCGGUGAAACAGUAGCGCAAGCGGCUGUGGAGUGUAUAGAAGUGAGAAUGCCGGAAUGAGUAGCGCGAAUGCAGUGAGAAUCUGCAUGGCCGAAAGCCUCAGGUUUCUGGAGGAAGGUUCGUCCGCUCCAGGUUAGUCGGGAGCUAAGGUGAGGCCGGAAGGCGUAGCCGAUGCACAGACGGUAGAGAUUCCGUCACCACCAAAAGAGUUAAGCACAGGGACACAUAUGAAGUCUCGGAGCCGGGUGUUGGUUCCGGUAGCGAUCGAGGGAAAUUAGUACCGAAGUCCGGGAUGGAAGAUGGCGAGAAAAGCUGUGUGUAUUUCUGCGGUGCCCGUACCGCAAACCGACACAGGUAGGUAGGAAGAAGAUUCUAAGGCCAACGGGAGAAGGGUUGUUAAGGAACUCGGCAAAUUGACCCCGUAACUUCGGGAGAAGGGGUGCUCCAGAGAUGGAGCCGCAGAGAAUCGGCCCAAGCAACUGUUUACCAAAAACACAGGUUUGUGCUAAAUCGAAAGAUGACGUAUACGAGCUGACGCCUGCCCGGUGCUGGAAGGUUAAGAGGAGAUGUGCAAGCAUUGAAUCGAAGCCCCAGUGAACGGCGGCCGUAACUAUAACGGUCCUAAGGUAGCGAAAUUCCUUGUCAGGUAAGUUCUGACCCGCACGAAUGGCGUAAUGAUUUGGGCACUGUCUCAACAGCCCGCCCGGCGAAAUUGUAGUACUGGUGAAGAUGCCAGUUACCCGCAACUAGACGGAAAGACCCCAUGGAGC